rnacentral:rRNA from 1 species
GUAGGUGGCAAGCGUUAUCCGGAAUCAUNGGGCGUAAAGGGUGCGUAGGUGGCGGAUUAAGUCCGUAGUAAAAGGCAUNGGCUCAACCAAUGUAAGCUAUGGAAACUGGUCGGCUGGAGUGCAGAAGAGGGCGAUGGAAUNCCAUGUGUAGCGGUAAAAUGCGUAGAUAUAUGGAGGAACACCAGUGGCGAAGGCGGUCGCCUGGUCUGCAACUGACACUGAGGCACGAAAGCGUGGGGGGCAAAUAGGAUUAGAUACCCUAGUAGUCCACGCCGUAAACGAUGAGAACUAAGUGUUGGAGAGAUUCAGUGCUGCAGUUAACGCAAUAAGUUCUCCGCCUGGGGAGU